UAGGGAAUCUUCCGCAAUGGGCGAAAGCCUGACGGAGCAACGCCGCGUGAGUGAUGAAGGUCUUCGGAUCGUAAAACUCUGUUAUUAGGGAAGAACAAAUGUGUAAGUAACUAUGCACGUCUUGACGGUACCUAAUCAGAAAGCCACGGCUAACUACGUGCCAGCAGCCGCGGUAAUACGUAGGUGGCAAGCGUUAUCCGGAAUUAUUGGGCGUAAAGCGCGCGUAGGCGGUUUUUUAAGUCUGAUGUGAAAGCCCACGGCUCAACCGUGGAGGGUCAUUGGAAACUGGGAAACUUGAGUGCAGAAGAGGAAAGUGGAAUUCCAUGUGUAGCGGUGAAAUGCGCAGAGAUAUGGAGGAACACCAGUGGCGAAGGCGACUUUCUGGUCUGUAACUGACGCUGAUGUGCGAAAGCGUGGGGAUCAAACAGG
rnacentral:rRNA from 2 species